AUGUAACUCUUACCUAAUGUUAUCCAUUCAUUCAUGUGUUACUCAUUUAUCAUUCUUACACCAUGCAGCGCUACAACAUUACACAACCCUUACACAAUGUGUUAUGGGUCACACUCCUGCUGCCUACACUGUUGAGUGGGCCACACCAACGGGCGUUCCCUCUCCGCUGCGGGCGUGCCUCCGCAAGAGAUCUGCAAUCAACACACCUGCCUUUUGAUGAGUGACCGGCCUUCAUAAGCCAGCGCGUCUUGAGAUCCGGUGCCAGAACCUUCCUCGUCGUCGAGUUGUGUGUCUCGUCUACCUGGACUCCCUUUUGGACUCACUCUUGCCUUCCUGGACUAAGACCUCGACCAUCCGCCUGCCCCCUGACGUCCGAGCCUGCUUUUCCCCUUUUGGACUUCUGCCUCGAUCUCAACACGCACACUCAACACCCUCUGGUGACCACGCUCAGAUAAUACUUACACAUAGUCGCACUACAUCUCUUUAAGCUAAUCACACACUGCACUCACAUACUGAGCUGUCAAUAAACACGCUGACAGCUAA